rnacentral:rRNA from 1 species
AUGGCCGCCGCCGCGUCAGCAAACCCCGGCACAGCGUACAAGCUCCUCCUCUNNNNNNNNNNNNNNNNNNNNNNNNNNNNNGUUUGUGUGAGGUUUGAUCCGUCCUUCGACCGGAUCCCCCACCCGGACGCAUCCCUGGAGGAGUCUAUAGGCGAGAUAUGGAAUCAAAGGCUCCAGCAGAACCCAUCGCUGUACAACGGAACGAAAUUUCGGUAUGGAGGGCAUGCCUUGCACCGCAGUGAUGAGUCAAAUCAUGAGUACUGUGUCUCACUUCAUUUGGGACUCACAGAUUAUAGGACAUUUGUUGGAACAAAUCUCAGUCCACUGUGGGAGAAAUUUUUGGUCCCCUCUCAAGAUGACUCUGUGUGUUGCCAACACAUGUCAAAUCCACUGGGAAAUGGUGCAAUCGUUGAAACAUCUGAUGAAAAAAUUAUUGUAUUGCAAAGGAGCAACAAUGUCGGCGAGUCUCCUGGACACUAUGUUUUUCCUGGAGGACAUUCUGAGCCACAAGAAGUUGGAAUCUUGGCUCAUCAAAAUGACGAAAAAGAUGUUGCUGGUCUCACUGAAAGAAUUUCUGAUGAAAUGUUUGAUGGAAUCAUCCGUGAAGUAGUUGAGGAAACCGGAGUUCCUGCUAGUUCACUGACAGAACCCAUUCUCAUUGGAGUUUCUCGACGAGAAACGAAUGUUAGGCCAGCAGCAUUCUUUUAUAUGAGAUGUAACAUUGAUUCCAGCGCCAUAACUGAGCUUUAUGCUAGAGCUCAAGAUGGUUAUGAAUCCACUAAGAUCUAUGCAGUAUCGGUGAAAGACUUACGAGAUAUGAGCCAGCGGUUGCCUGGUUGCCACCUAGGGGGUUUUGCUCUGUAUGAACUUAUGAGGAACGCUUCGGAAAGUUUGUGAACAAACCGAUAUAGACUGAGUUCUUCAGAGUUCACAUGGAAAGAAAAUCGAUAAAGAUUACUGAGAUUCAGAUUAAAGAUGAUCAAGACCAUUCUUCUGUAGACUAUAUGAGAUGUGUCCGUCUUCGUCCGGCAUUGUUCUUUUUCGUGGUGUGCAGUGCAGGAGUGUAACCAGUUUUUAUUUACUUUUGUUCCUGGAAUCCUGGUAUGUACCGCGGUAACAAAAAUGUACGACUAAUCCCUAUCUAUCGAAUAACAAAACAAGCUAGUAAUUCUUGGAACUACGUUUGUAAUUUUUGCACAUGGUGGUGAC